UACGAGGGGGGCGAGCGUUGCUCGGAAUCACUGGGCGUAAAGGGUGCGUAGGCGGGUUUUUAAGUCAGAGGUGAAAUCCUGGAGCUCAACUCCAGAACUGCCUUUGAUACUGAAAGUCUUGAGUAUGGGAGAGGUGAGUGGAACUGCGAGUGUAGAGGUGAAAUUCGUAGAUAUUCGCAAGAACACCAGUGGCGAAGGCGGCUCACUGGCCCAUUACUGACGCUGAGGCACGAAAGCGUGGGGAGCAAACAGG
rnacentral:rRNA from 1 species